GGAUUAGUAGCGUAAUGGUAGCGCAACAGGCUGUUUAACCUGUGGGUCGAAGGUUCAAAUUCUUCCUAGUCUG
rnacentral:tRNA from 1 species